rnacentral:lncRNA from 1 species
CUAUACCCUGGAAAACAAAAAGAAACAAUAUACCCUGACACAUGGAAUGAUGUAGGUCUUUAUAAGAAAGUCCUCAAGCUUUCACACCUGUUCAAAGAUAAGGCAAACCCUUUAACCUCGACGAUUAGUAUUUGCAUCGAUCUAAUUUAUGAUGUUCUCCUAGUGAUAGCAAUACGCUGAUACAAAUUACUUAACCAAGAUGACUACAGAUAAAUAAAUCUCUUUUUAUGAAACCUCAACCAUCUCCAAGAUAAAAUAAGAGCAUAUUCAAAAAUCUUUGUAGCUUCCAAGCCUGAUUGUUGAAACACAACUUUGUUCCUACCCAACCAAGUUGCCC